CAGUCGCCGCGGUAAUACGUAGGUCCCGAGCGUUGUCCGGAUUUAUUGGGCGUAAAGCGAGCGCAGGCGGUUUGAUAAGUCUGAAGUUAAAGGCUGUGGCUCAACCAUAGUUCGCUUUGGAAACUGUCAAACUUGAGUGCAGAAGGGGAGAGUGGAAUUCCAUGUGUAGCGGUGAAAUGCGUAGAUAUAUGGAGGAACACCGGUGGCGAAAGCGGCUCUCUGGUCUGUAACUGACGCUGAGGCUCGAAAGCGUGGGGAGCGAACAGGAUUAGAUACCCCGGUAGUCCCUGUCUCUUAUACC
rnacentral:rRNA from 1 species